rnacentral:rRNA from 1 species
ACGGAAUAGAUACCCGGGUAGUCCCAGCUGUAAACGAUGCAGACUAGGUGUUUGGACGGCCACGUGCCGUUCUAGUGCCGCAGGGAAGCUGUUAAGUCUGCCGCCUGGGGAGUACGAUCGCAAGAUUGAAACUUAAAGGAAUUGGCGGGGGAGCACCACAAGGGGUGAAGCUUGCGGUUUAAUUGGAGUCAACGCCGGAAAUCUCACCGGGAGCGACAGCAGUAUGAAAGCCAGAUUGAAGGUCUUGCUAGACGAGCUGAGAGGAGGUGCAUGGCCGUCGCCAGUUCGUGCCGUGAGGUGUCCUGUCAAGUCAGGCAACGAUCGAGACCCGCGUCCUCUGUUGCAACCGAGUCUUUGUGCGUGGGCACACUGGAGGAGACCGCCACUGAAUAAAGUGGAGGAAGGAGCGGGCCACGGCAGGUCAGUAUCGCCCGAAUCGUCCCGGGCCACACGCGAGCUGCAAUGGCAAGUACAAUGGGUUCCGACCUACGGAAAGGGGGAGGCAAUCUACGAAAGCUUGCCGUAGUUAGGAAUU